rnacentral:rRNA from 1 species
UACGAAGGGGGCUAGCGUUGUUCGGAAUUACUGGGCGUAAAGGGCGCGUAGGCGGUCCUGAUCGUCGGAUGUGAAAGGCCUGGGCUCAACCUGGGAACUGCAUCCGAUACGGCGGGACUGGAGUGUGGGAGAGGUUGGUGGAAUUCCCAGUGUAGAGGUGAAAUUCGUAGAUAUUGGGAAGAACACCGGUGGCGAAGGCGGCGAGCUGGUCCAUUACUGACGCUGAGGCGCGACAGCGUGGGGAGCAAACAGG